rnacentral:rRNA from 1 species
UAGGGAAUCUUCCGCAAUGGACGCAAGUCUGACGGAGCAACGCCGCGUGAGUGAAGAAGGAUUUCGGUUCGUAAAACUCUGUUGUUAGAGAAGAACAGCGCAUAGAGUAACUGUUAUGCGUGUGACGGUAUCUAACCAGAAAGCCACGGCUAACUACGUGCCAGCAGCCGCGGUAAUACGUAGGUGGCAAGCGUUGUCCGGAUUUAUUGGGCGUAAAGCGAGCGCAGGCGGUUAGAAAAGUCUGAAGUGAAAGGCAGUGGCUCAACCAUUGUAGGCUUUGGAAACUGUUUAACUUGAGUGCAGAAGGGGACAGUGGAAUUCCAUGUGUAGCGGUGAAAUGCGUAGAUAUAUGGAGGAACACCGGUGGCGAAAACGACUCUCUGGUCUGUAACUGACGCUGAGGCUCGAAAGCGUGGGGAGCGAACAGG